UAGUCCACGCCGUAAACGAUGUCAACUAGCCGUUGUCUCCAUUUAAGGGGUCAGUGGCGCAGCUAACGCGAUAAGUUGACCGCCUGGGGAGUACGCCGGCAACGGUAAAACUCAAAGGAAUUGACGGGGCCCGCACAAGCGGUGGAGCAUGUGGUUUAAUUCGAUGCAACGCGCAGAACCUUACCAACCCUUGACAUCCUGAUCGCGGUUAGUGGAGACACUUUCCUUCAGUUCGGCUGGAUCAGUGACAGGUGCUGCAUGGCUGUCGUCAGCUCGUGUCGUGAGAUGUUCGGUUAAGUCCGGCAACGAGCGCAACCCACAUCUUUAGUUGCCAGCAGUUCGGCUGGGCACUCUAAAGAAACUGCCCGUGAUAAGCGGGAGGAAGGUGUGGAUGACGUCAAGUCCUCAUGGCCCUUACGGGGUUGGGGCUAC
rnacentral:rRNA from 1 species